rnacentral:rRNA from 1 species
UUUGCAGAAAAAACUUGACUGUUAUGGGACUACGAGUCGUGCACUUGUGCGCAGCUCCUCCAUCCCGGGGUAUUUUCAUCAACAUAUGCAGCAAUGUAUAUGGAAAAUAUACCAUGAGCAUACUGGAUAUGACCCGAAAGAUGGUGAACUAUGCCUGAUCAGGUUGAAGUCAGGGGAAACCCUGAUGGAGGACCGAAGCAAUUCUGACGUGCAAAUCGAUUGUCAGAAUUGGGCAUAGGGGCGAAAGACCAAUCGAACCAUCUAGUAGCUGGUUCCUUCCGAAGUUUCCCUCAGGAUAGCUGGAGCAUAGAAAUAUCUUUUUCUAACUCAUACCUGGUAAAGCGAAUGAUUAGAGGCCUUAGGAACGAAAUGUUCUUAACCUAUUCUCAAACUUUAAAUGGGUAUGUAAGCUAACAUACUUGAUUGAUGUUGGCCUGGUGAUAAUGAAAGUUAUCUGUAAGAUUGUAUGCGCCCAGUGGGCCAAGUUUUGGUAAGCAGAACUGGUGCUGCGGGAUGAACCGAACGCAUUGUUAAGGCGCCCAAAUAAACGACGCAUCAUCGAU